rnacentral:rRNA from 1 species
UACGUAGGAUCCUAGCGUUGUCCGGAUUUACUGGGCGUAAAGGGCGCGUAGGCGGCCUUCUAAGUCGAACGUGAAAUCCCUGGGCUCAACCCAGGAACUGCGUCCGAUACUGGAAGGCUUGAAUCCGGGAGAGGGAUGCGGAAUUCCAGGUGUAGCGGUGAAAUGCGUAGAUAUCUGGAGGAACACCGGUGGCGAAGGCGGCAUCCUGGACCGGCAUUGACGCUGAGGCGCGAAAGCCAGGGGAGCAAACGGG